rnacentral:rRNA from 1 species
GAUGAACGCUAGCGGCAGGCCUAACACAUGCAAGUCGAGGGAUAAGCCUUCGGGCUAAGACCGGCGCACGGGUGCGUAACGCGUAUACAAUCUGCCUUUUAUCCGGGGGAUAGCCCGAAGAAAUUUGGAUUAAUACCCUAUGGUAUAAGAGCACGGCAUCGUGCACUUAUUAAAGCCACGGCGGUAAAAGAUGAGUAUGCGUUCUAUUAGCUAGUUGGAGAGGUAACGGCUCCCCAAGGCGACGAUAGAUAGGGGUUCUGAGAGGGAUGUCCCCCACACUGGUACUGAGAUACGGACCAGACUCCUACGGGAGGCAGCAGUGAGGAAUAUUGGACAAUGGUCGGAAGACUGAUCCAGCCAUGCCGCGUGCAGGAUGACGGCCUUAUGGGUUGUAAACUGCUUUUGUAAGGGAAGAAUAAGGAGUACGUGUACUUUGAUGACGGUACCUUACGAAUAAGCAUCGGCUAACUCCGUG